rnacentral:lncRNA from 1 species
ACACACAUAUUCACUCGUAAAGUAAAAAAAAAACUAAUGAACUCCCAUUCUGGUUUGCUGCUCACACAAAAUAAAUAAAAACAACUGCAGAAAACCUUGACAAAAUGGCACAAAAAGUUGCCAUUUGUAUUGGCGUUCUCUGUGUGUUCUUUUUUUGGUGUCUCCCCGUGGACUGCUCCAUAAAUAUGCCAUGUAAAAUGUAAAAUUAAAUGUAAUAUCUAUGGAUGCACUCAGGCACAGGCAGAUGCACAACUAACUGGCUUCGGGGCAGUCCUUUCAAUGAAGUAAAUCACUGAGAGAGAGAGAGAGAGGGCGAGCAGCUGGAAUCAGGUGGGUCAUGUGUGUGCAAGUUCACAGCUCUCACAGCUCUCUGUUUGAUGUAUUUUACUGAAAUUUCUGCUUGAAUUUCAGACUUAAUUAAAACGAAGAGAUGGCCCGAUAUGGUUGCUGAUGCACCUUCAAAUUUAUGGAGUUUCUGUGAAUAUAUUUUUGGGAGUGAUCUUUGAGGCGGGAG